AAAGUCGUAACAAGGUUUCCGUAGGUGAACCUGCGGAAGGAUCAUUACAAAUCAGUGAUUGAGGUGGGGAUGGGGGGAGGAUGUAAACAGUGUUAAUGAUCAUGAUCAUGAUGAUGUUUAUGUCCCACCCAUCGCCGUUAGCACGAGGAUACGCCCCUGGUGGUGUAGCCUCGAUGUUUGCCCGCGUGCGUGUUGGACAGAGUUAUGCAGUUAUUUUGAACCACAGACAACUUUUAACAAUGGAUCUCUGGGCUCUU
rnacentral:misc_RNA from 1 species